GAUGAACGCUGGCGGCGUGCCUAAUACAUGCAAGUCGAGCGGUAAGGCUCUGCACUUAGUAUUUGAUUGAUAAUCAACCUCUAGGCUAGAGGAAGUAGAUCGAAUAAUAAGUGUAGAGUACACGAGCGGCGGACGGCUGAGUAACGCGUAGGAACGUACCCAAAGUGAGGGAUAAGCACCGGAAACGGUGUCUAAUACCGCAUGUGGUCUUCGGAUUAAAGCUUUAUGCGCUUUGGGAACGGCCUGCGUCUGAUUAGCUUGUUGGUGAGGUAAAAGCUCACCAAGGCGACGAUCGGUAGCUGGUCUGAGAGGAUGAUCAGCCAGACUGGGACUGAGACACGGCCCAGACUCCUACGGGAGGCAGCAGUAGGGAAUUUUCCACAAUGGACGAAAGUCUGAUGGAGCAACGCCGCGUGCAGGAUGAAGGCUUUCGGGUCGUAAACUGCUUUUAUAUGUGAAGAUUAUGACGGUAGCAUAUGAAUAAGGAUCGG
rnacentral:rRNA from 1 species